GAGGAGUCAAACUGAACCGUCCAAGUUAGAAGCUUCGCCACAAGUAAGGAUCACUGCCACUUUGUUUGACAAGUAUGAUGGCUCUACAUACCCGAGCGAGCACAUCAAGAUUUCAUGAACCAGAUAGCAUUGUACACCACGAGCGACUCCAUAUGGUGUCGGGUUUUCUCCACCUCACUGAAAGGAGAAGCCCUAGCCUGGUUUUCUACGUUGUCGGCC
rnacentral:lncRNA from 1 species